rnacentral:rRNA from 1 species
CCGCGGUAUUCUGACCGUGCGAAGGUAGCGCAAUCACUUGUCUCUUAAAUGGAGACCUGUAUGAAAGGCACCACGAGGGCUUAGCUGUCUCCCCUUCAAGGUCAAUGAAAUUGAUCCCCCCGUGCAGAAGCGGGGAUACGCUCGUAAGACGAGAAGACCCUAUGGAGCUUAAGACAUAAGGCGACCCACGUCAAUAAACCCCUCUAAAAGGAAAAGAACAAAGUGAACUUCGCCGAAAUGUCUUCGGUUGGGGCGACCGCGGGGAAAAACCAAACCCCCGCAUGGACCAAGGCCACAAUAGCCUUAAAACCCAGACCCCCUGGUCGAAUCAACAGUAUUUCUGACCACCAAAGAGCCGGCAAUGCCGAUCAACGGACAGAGUUACCCUAGGGAUAACAGCGCAAUCCCCUCCCAGAGCCCUUAUCGACGAGGGGGUUUACGACCUCGAUGUUGGAUCAGGACAUCCUAAUGGUGCAGCCGCUAUUAA